ensembl:lncRNA
GAAGUAAAGAGGUAUUUAGAAAAAGCUUGCUAAAGGAACAGAGAUAUAAAUAUUUCUAAUGAGCUUCAGAAAUUGUCUACAGAGUGGCACUACAAGGAAGUGUUGCAGUCUGUUCCUUUCUAAAGAACUAUGGAUGGAUUUUGUUUAAAGGAAUGAAGACAGAAAUGUGUUUGUGCUCUCUGCUGCAUAUAGACAGCUCAGGAUCUGGAAUUGUUAAUACCAUGUUGAGCACACCUUGAGCACGUAUUUGUAUGCAAGUGCCAAAAUAUGUUGAUAUUGGCGUUCAGAAAGAAUGAAGAGCCUGAAGAAUGAACGCAGUGAAAAUGAACACAGCGAAGGAAAAAGGAUUAAAUGGGAUGACAGUAAGGUUUUGAGCAAUGCUUUUAGAGUGCUUCAAAGGAGGAAACCAAGGUAGCAGACAGUCUCAGAUGAAGAAAGACUCUGCUGCAGAGAACACAUCAUAUGACAUUCCGUUCACACAGACUGAUCAUUCAUAUUGGGAUGCUUAUUCAUACUGGGAUAUUUUCACCUCUCUGUCAUCUUCCUAAACAAGAUUUUCAUCUAGGUCAGAUUGUGAUACCCUUACUAACAGAGAAGUAUAUCAAGGCCCAGUCCCUUAUCAAACAUGCUAAAAUUUAUGGGCCUUUUAUAACAUUCACAAUUUAUCAGUGUGUCUCAGCUUUCCUGCAAGGAGUAAACAGCCACUCACUUCUUCCUAGGAGAGAGAGUAGUGAGACACAUGCCAAGAAACGACAAUCUCUUCUAGUCUUGUGCACCUCAGGAUUUUGUUAAGGAAUUAAUCCCACUUCAAAUCAGGAAAUCAGCAUCCUUUCAUCUGUUUUGCAGCCAAAGUUUAUGAGGGAGUUAGAAAGAUAUUUCUCAACAACUGUAGGAUUUAUUCUCUCCCACUUUGCCAUGCUUUCCCUCAGAAUAAGGAUCAUGGCACAGGAUAGAUCUUUAUUCUUAUACAAUUUACAUGAUGGACUGUGGUUUAUAAGUCUCCAUUUUAAUGUAAAUGACCUUUCAUCUC